GCAAGUCGAGGGGUAACAGGGUUUUCGGACCGCUGACGACCGGCGCACGGGUGCGUAACGCGUAUGCAAUCUACCUCUAACAGAGGGAUAGCCCGAAGAAAUUCGGAUUAAUACCUCAUAACAUUAUUUUAUCGCAUGGUAGAAUAAUUAAAACUCUGGUGGUUAGAGAUGAGCAUGCGUCCCAUUAGUUAGUUGGUGAGGUAACGGCUCACCAAGGCAGCGAUGGGUAGGGGGUCUGAGAGGAUAAUC
rnacentral:rRNA from 1 species